AUCCACGCUCUUGAAUUUUAUUUUGUUCCUAUAUUUUUUGGACAAUUGCACAAUAGAAGUAGCCGAGUCGGUGUAAAAUGAUUGUCGUGGUUUUUUUUUAGAAUCGAUAAAUAAUACAAACCCAUGUUGACGAUGAGACAAGAAAAAUUCGGAAUUAAUCUGUUUGAAGUCGAUCAUUUCGUAUGAGCCAAUACUAUUUAGCCGCAAAUUGGCUGAAUUGGUGUUCAACAGCUUUCUUUCUUUAAAACUAGAAACUAAAAGUUCUUCUCUUACUCCUUGGUUGUCGCGAUUAGCUGUCGGCAUUAUUAAUUUAUUGUUGACUUCUUUCUUCUCAACUGUAGCAGAAACAGAGCUCAAAAUAUUUUCGAACUCUUCUCCUUCUGGUGAAUGCACCAAGUUAACUGCUUUACAAAAGGCAUGGCGCGUAAUCGCGAACAGGAACGCAAUAUAGAGAAUAGAUCUCCAAGCACCCAGCUCCAUAAAUAAUUUACGACUGUAAGUCCAAUUUGAAUAAGUAAAUUAAAAGGAUUAUGAACUUCUCUAUCUUCUUAAUUCUUUAAUUCACCGAGGACCUUUCGAAUGCGUGCGUUUGAUAUAGGUAGUGCGAGGUGUAUAAUAAGGUAAAAUGUA